rnacentral:misc_RNA from 1 species
ACAGGAGCCAUACGCAACCUACUACUCAAAGUCGACCACACAUGACCCAUCUCCUCAAAAAAAAUCUCUCCCUUCUCUCUCUGUUUUUCUGGCACGCUCAUUUGGCUACAACCCAGAAAGGAGCCCUCAAGUCUGCGAUUGCCACUGAAGUGUUUUGAGGCAAUUUCUUCAUACCCUUUGAUUCUCUGAUUAAAGAAGAACAAGGAGGAGAAAAAUGGCAUGUGUAUCCCAGGCAAUGAUAUCAGCAAACACAUGCACAUUCACUUCCCCACGGCUCUUCAAGAAAUGCCUAUCCUUAAAUAGGCAAAAUUUUAAGAUUUUCACCAUUAGAGCUUCCUCUGAUGACCCUGAUUGCAACGAUGAAGAUUGUGCUCCUGAUAAGGAGGUUGGCAAGGUAAGCAUGGAAUGGUUGGCUGGGGAGAAAACCAAAGUGGUUGGAACAUUCCCACCGCGAACUCGUGGUUGGACUGGAUAUGUUGAGAAGGAUACUGCAGGGCAGAAAAAUAUCUACUCUGUCGAGGUUGAUAAUUUGCGAUUCUCUCUCUCCAUAUAUAUAUAUAUAAAGCUUACUUGCUCCUCUUAUUGGUCUAUUCUGUUAAAAGUUUAUGUUGCUCUCCCUAACACAGCACCUUAGCCUGUUGCUGCCAAUUUGUUUUCGAUUGGUACUGACAAAAGCCAUAUACCCAAAAGAUAACAGACGAUGAAUGCUACUCAAUUAGCUAUUAGAACAAGAAGGGUUGAUGAGCCAGCAAUAUAUGUAGCGGAAAGUGCAAUAAGCUCAGGAACUGCAGGUUCUUCUGCUGAUGGAGCUGAAAACACAAAAGCCAUUGCUGCUGGCCUUGCCCUGAUUUCUGUGGCUGCAGCUUCAUUGAUUCUCAUCCAAGUUGGUAAGACCCCAACCGUAACGCAAGCAGUUGAAUACUCUGGACCGGCUCUCAGUUACUAUAUCAACAAGUUCAAGCCACCAGAAAUAGUACAAGCUGCAGUGCCAAGCCAAGGUGAAUCCUCCCCAUCAGUACAGCCGGAGAACUCUGCUUCAGAAGUUCCCCAAAUACAGGUUCAAUCUCAAUUUCGGCCAGCGCCUUCCACUUCAAGUGAGAACAGUAUUUCUUAGGCUAAUUAAGUUGGCUUAAUUUCUUGAAUUUUAGAAACUUGAAGAUUUUCCUUCUAUACCACUUAUGUAUACUAAUCUGAGGUUAUAAAUUGCAUGAAACACAACAAGAUGAAGGGAAACAUGGUUUUGAUUGAGCUGAAAAAUGUGUACUCCCUAUGUUGCAUGUUAAAAGUUUUUCAUUUGCUCUAUUUGGCAAUUCUUUUUAGAUUUAAUGGAGACCCAAUGUAUAGAACAAUAACUAUUGGCGAGACUCACACUUGAGACCUCUCCACUCCCCACAACUUUUAAUGGCGAAGGAAAAUUAAUCAGGCUACCAUUGAUUAACACUAA